rnacentral:snRNA from 11 species
AAACCUUGCAGGGGAGACACCAUGAUCAUGAAGGUGGUUUUCCCAGGGUGAGGCUCAUCCAUUGCACAAAAUAAUUUCUUAUAGUCUUAAUCUCAGUGGUUUAAUU